CUAGUGGUUGUGGUAGGGAAAGUGUGUUUAAAUUCCUUUUGUAGCAAUUGAGGAGAUUUCUCCCCAGUUAAUGAGGCUCUUGGUCAGGUUCUCUAUGUACCAUACUGCACACAGAAUCUUUUGCAGUUAGAUCCUUAAUAAAUGCCAUUUGAAAAGGAGAAAUAUCUUUCUCAAGUCAGACCCUUAUUGAACAGUGAGACCCUUUCUACAAAGAACACAUUUUCAUCCAAGUAUUUCCUUCAAGGGAAAUAGUUACUUUUGAUUCGGGGGAGCAAUUUGUGUAGCAAGAGAGGGGAACCAAAGAAGGAGAUAGGACUGAAAUCUAGUUCCCACUGGCAGCCACCAUCCUCACCCAAAACACACACAUACACACAGAGCCUUGCUAUUCUUCUGCUAAUGCGAUUGGCACCGCUUAAAGCAGUCUGCGAGGGCAUUGUCUGCGACCACAGCAAGAGAAACAUUAUUCAAAGGCCAUUCAGACUCGAAAAGAAGCGGCCAGAGCAGAGUAAUUAUCGAAGGCUCUCCAUUAACUAGGACAUCUUUGCUCUUUAGGCUGCCUUUAGAGAAACUGACAGUAAAGCCAGAAGUUACCAUAUUGCAAACUGACCUUCAAAAAAACUUGGUGCGGACCCCAGCUGCUUAUGGAGACUCGGGUAUUCAGAAUGCUCUAACAUCUUUGUCUUUUGCUUUCCUUUUAAGUUGGAGUAAUUUGCAGGGACACCUCUAAGAAACACCACUCCUGUCUGACUCAGCUCUCUUAGCCACUUAGAAUGAAGAAGUCCAAGGUCGGGGAACUAAAAAAGGAGAAAGAUUCUCAUCAGGGAAGCAUUAAACAGUGGCAAAAGGGCCUUACGGACCAUUGGAUAGAGUUCUAAAAUUUGAAUGCUAUAUGCUGGGGAGCAGCAGAAAAUGUGGAAAACAGUAUGAAUUAGUGUCUGCGGAAGGAGAACCCAUCAGCAUAAAACAAAACUGAGGACGAUACACAGCAGAAAUCUGAAGGCUUAUCCAUGUCUGCAGAAAUCCUGACCUUGCCCCUCUAAUAGAGUGACAUAUUGGCAGUUCUGGGAAUCACAGACCCUGAUGGUUCUUCAAUAAGGAAAGAAGGGAAGAGGCACCGAAAGUGAGAAAGAGGCUCCCCUGAUUUCCUAUCAGCUCAGGGGUGCAGGAAUUAGAUGAGGAACAUUAAGAUCAGAGGGGAAGAAGUGCGUGCACGAAGCUGGUUCAUUAUAUGGUGCUACUGCCCCCGAAAACCUUAUCAGGCCCUGCCUUCCAAUGGAGAAAGGCAAGAAAGAAGACGAGAAUGUAGAUGAUCAGAUGGCCUUCAGGUUCUAUAGCCCAGGACUUGAGCAAAAGAGGCACUAAAAGAAAAAUACAAACUUUUUUGAUGGUGACUGGUUCCCUCUUGGUUACACAGGAUUUUCAAACAAGGGAUGAAUGACCACUAGUAGAUUUUGCAAAUGGAAUUCUUGUUGAGAUUGGCCUAGGUGGUCUCUAAGGGCUCUUCUAACUCUUGAAGUUCUUAAUUCUCUGACACAAUUCCUUUUGUGUUAUUAUUAAUGAUACAUUAAUGCUCAAACAAUAUUAAUCCUACAGAAUAAUAAUUCAAAACUUAAUUAUAGGGGGCAGGUAGGUGGUACAAUAGCUAUAGCUCUGGCCUUGGA